rnacentral:ncRNA from 23 species
UUGCAUAUUGUGGAGACAGGUGCUUCGUCUGUAACGAUGAAACUUAAAAGGGAAGAUCGGUGUAAAUCCGUCGCGGUCCCGCCACUGUAACAGAGGAGCCUUGUGCCAGGCAAACGCCACUGGUCUAAGAUGACUGGGAAGGCGGCUUUAAGGCGAUGAAUCUGGAAGCCAGGAGACCUGCCUGUUCUAACGACACUGCU